UACGUAGGGGGCAAGCGUUGUCCGGAAUCAUUGGGCGUAAAGCGCGUGUAGGCGGCCCGGUAAGUCCGCUGUGAAAGUCGGGGGCUCAACCCUCGAAUGCCGGUGGAUACUGUCGGGCUAGAGUGCGGAAGAGGCGAGUGGAAGUUCCUGGUGUAGCGGUGAAAUGCGCAGAUAUCAGGAGGAACACCAAUAGCGAAGGCAGCUCGCUGGGACGGUACUGACGCUAAGGCGCGAAAGCGUGGGGAGCGAACAGG
rnacentral:rRNA from 1 species